UCAACAAAUAAGCAUUUAUUAAGUUCUCAUUGUGUGCCAUGCCUCUCAAAUACAAUUCCCACCCUCAGGGAGCUCACAUUCUACAGGGGAAGCAAUAUGAGCAGAAACAGGUACAUACAGAUGGUCUCAGGGUCUCAUGGUCUCAUGCCUGAUGGCCCCCCUGAGGAAGAACUUUCUAUUCUCUGGAGAGAAGUGCAGGAAAGAAGUAGGCCCAGCUUUGGAGCUGCUGGGCUGAGGAAUAAAUUGUAGGAAUCCUGAGAUAGCCAAGGCCAUGAUGAAUUGAGGAAAUCGUCACUUGACAACCAAGCUACAUUCUCCUCUUCCCAUUUGGAAUAGAUGAACUAUUCCCAUAUUUUACUGAGAAGAUUGGUUCAAGAUAGUAAGUAAAAAGUUGUAACUAAGACAAAUGCACCAAAUUAAAAAAAACAAACAAAAACCAAAAAAAAAAAAAUACCAGAAAGGAGUGGGGUUGGAGGGGAGGAAGAAGAAAAGAAAAGAAAUCUUCAAAGGAAAACCACAGGGAGAAUAAGGAAAUGAGUGAACAAAAAAGAGCUUUCAAAAUGAAUAAAUACUAAGAGUAAGAUAAAUUGAAGAGAAAUCUGUAAAAAGUAAGAAUAGG